AGUGAACGCUGGCGGUAGGCCUAACACAUGCAAGUCGAACGGCAGCACAGUAAGAGCUUGCUCUUACGGGUGGCGAGUGGCGGGCGGGUGAGGAAUGCAUCGGAAUCUACUUUUUCGUGGGGGAUAACGUAGGGAAACUUACGCUAAUACCGCAUACGACCUACGGGUGAAAUCAGGGGAUCUUCGGACCUUGCGCGAUUGAAUGAGCCGAUGUCGGAUUAGCUAGUUGGCAGGGUAAAGGCACACCAAGGCGACGAUCCGUAGCUGGUCUGAGAGGAUGAUCAGCCACACUGGAACUGAGACACGGUCCAGACUCCUACGGGAGGCAGCAGUGGGGAAUAUUGGACAAUGGGCGCAAGCCUGACCCAGCCAUACCGCGUGGGUGAAGAAGGCCUUCGGGUUGUAAAGCCCUUUUGUUGGGAAAGAAAAGCAGCAGGUUAAUACCCCGCUGUUCUGACGGUACCCAAAGAAUAAGCACCGGCUAACUUCGUG
rnacentral:rRNA from 1 species